CUAUGAUGAGUUUAUUUAUGAUACACUUUUGUUCGGUCACUCUCCUUAUUGUUUACUUUAUUGUAUUCAACAAUGCAUUGAACCGAUUUUUAUAGAUAGUUGAAGAUGUAAUCUUUUAAGUAUGUCAAAAAGUUUGCUUCGUGGGUGCAUCACUGUUGUAACAGUAUCUUUCAUCGAUAACAUUUAUUCGGUUUGCAUAGCAUCCUAGCCUCCCGUUCCUCUAGGAAAUGCAGACAACUUAAUACACAAUAACAC
rnacentral:lncRNA from 1 species